rnacentral:rRNA from 1 species
AUACGUAGGUGCCAAGCGUUAUCCGGAUUUACUGGGCGUAAAGGGCGUGUAGGCGGUCUUGCAAGUCAGAAGUGAAAUUCCUGAGCUCAACUCGGGCGCUGCUUCUGAAACUGCAGGACUUGAGUGCUGGAGGGGAUAGCGGAAUUCCUAGUGGAGCGGUAAAAUGCGCAGAUAUUAGGAAGAACACCGGUGGCGAAGGCGGCUAUCUGGGCAGUAACUGUCGCUGAGGCGCGAAAGCGUGGGGGGCAAACAGGAUUAGAUACCCUGGUAGGUCACGCCGUAAACGAUGAAUACUAGGUGUAGGGGGUAUCGACUCCCUCUGUGCCGCAGUUAACACAAUAAGUAUUCCGCCUGGGGAGUACGGCCGCAAGGUUGAAACUCAAAGGAAUUGACGGGG